rnacentral:rRNA from 1 species
AGUCUGCCUUGAAGAUCGGAGUGCUUGCACUCUGUGAAACAAGAUACAGGCUAGCGGCGGACGGGUGAGUAACACGUGGGUAACCUGCCCAAGAGAUCGGGAUAACACCUGGAAACAGAUGCUAAUACCGGAUAACAACAGAUGAUGCCUAUCAACUGUUUAAAAGAUGGUUCUGCUAUCACUCUUGGAUGGACCUGCGGUGCAUUAGCUAGUUGGUAGGGUAACGGCCUACCAAGGCGAUGAUGCAUAGCCGAGUUGAGAGACUGAUCGGCCACAUUGGGACUGAGACACGGCCCAAACUCCUACGGGAGGCAGCAGUAGGGAAUCUUCCACAAUGGACGCAAGUCUGAUGGAGCAACGCCGCGUGAGUGAAGAAGGGUUUCGGCUCGUAAAGCUCUGUUGUUGGUGAAGAAGGACAGGGGUAGUAACUGACCUUUGUUUGACGGUAAUCAAUUAGAAAGUCACGGCUAACUACGUGCCAGCAGCCGCGGUAAUACGUAGGUGGCAAGCGUUGUCCGGAUUUAUUGGGCGUAAAGCGAGUGCAGGCGGCUCGAUAAGUCUGAUGUGAAAGCCUUCGGCUCAACCGGAGAAUUGCAUCAGAAACUGUCGAGCUUGAGUACAGAAGAGGAGAGUGGAACUCCAUGUGUAGCGGUGAAAUGCGUAGAUAUAUGGAAGAACACCGGUGGCGAAGGCGGCUCUCUGGUCUGUUACUGACGC